CUAUGAGACAGAUAAGGCAAGUGAAGAUGAUACCACACUUCGGUACUUAGAAGUUUCGUGAUUACUCAGCGGCUUGGAUCUUGCAAGUCCCCAACCAAGGAGCUUCCCUUACUCGAGAACUUAGGGGAGCACUGUUUGUACCAUACUUGACCAAUCCCGAAACUACCGAGCACUGAUCAACGUUAUACCUUCAAGGACCCAUAAGAGUUUCCCUCAAACCAGGAGGCCAAUCAUAGCACGACACGUGUCGACAUCAGAAGCCAAUCAUAGCGCGACACGUGUCAACAUCGGAAGCCAAUCAUAACACGAUACGUGUCAAUGUCAGAACAAAGCUAGAAACUCUCUUCUAUAAAAGGAGAUCAUUCUCCCAC
rnacentral:lncRNA from 1 species